UGCCCCAUGGCUGAGUUGGUUACAGCGUCCGACUGUUACUUACUUACGUAGUACUCUGUGGAGUCUUACGUAAUCCAGUCACGUGAUCGGAAGGUCAUGAGUUCGAGCCUCAUUGGGGCAG
rnacentral:tRNA from 1 species